GCCUGUGAAUGCCAGUAAGUGUUCUUCAGUGGCUUCCUCUGUGCCAGGCACUAUGCUAAGCAGUGGAGAUACAAAGGCAAAAAUAGCUCAGGCCCUGGAGGAACUGACAUUCUAAUGGGAGAAGCCAUCCCAAUGGAGAUGUUCUGAAGGCAGAAGAGACAAGAUCUGGCAACAGAUGGACUAGGUGGCCGGGUUCAAGUGAAGGGAGAAACAGGGAGAAACUGGAUGACUAGAGAGAUGGCAGUGCCCUCAACAGGGCAGCAAGAUGAUGAGUUUAGUCUAGGAUCCAUUGACUGUGAGAUGCCUGGGGAAUGGGGCAUAAAUCCUAGAUGGGCUCAGAACCUCAGAAUCAUCUUCACAAAGAUGGUUGGUCAACCCAUGGGAGCUGGUGAGGCAGGAGAGAGGGAGAAGAGACGAGGGCCUGGCCCAGAGCCUUGGGGGAUACCCCACAGUUAGCAGACACGUCUUGAAUGAAGAAUGAAGGAAGGAGAUGAAGAAGGAGCUGUCGGAGGGUAAGACUGUCCCAAAGAGCUGCCCAUAGGGAAUCCUUAAUAAAAGUGGACUUUAAAGCACUAUAAACCACCAGCUCCCAUUUACUCUGCCUACCAGGGACCCCAGGGUCAGAAAGUCAGAGCCUUUAACCUUUCAUCUUUGGCUCUCUGGGUUUUCCAACUCUCCCUCAAAUAUUCAUUUACCCUUUAUUUUACCAGGAAAGGGCAGGCCAGCGGAUGCCCAAUGGUGAGUCAGGGAAUCCUCACAGUCCAUUGCAAAGAAAGAUGGGGGGCUGCCUUCUAGCAAGGCAGAGACGAGACACAAAGAACGGACCAAUUUCCCCCCUGGAAAAUGGCUUCUUUGCUUUGACGCUGAGAGGCUUGGAAUCAAGGAGUUGGGGACCCGAGAGAGAGACAGAGCUGUGUUCCUGGGCUUCAAGAAUUGUGUGUUCCCUGCCUCAUCUGACUCACUCGGGGAUUUGGGGCCCCUUCUUGGGCCUCUCAGUUCUACAUCUGGAAAACAAGCCCUCCCAGGGAGGUGCUGCCUGGAGAGAGAUCAUGUGUACAGCUGGAUAAAGAAACCCACUCCAUCAAGGAAGGGAUUAUUCUGAUGUAGACCUUGGAUGGCUGCCUCCUAUGGAAAACUGAGAUGGGACACUCGAGAAUGAUGAUAGACAUCACGGCAGUUGAGAAGAUUCUCCAAUCGGGGAGCCGAGGUAUCUGAAGGCAUGGCAGCAUGUAAGCUGGAGUCCCCAAGGUGGUGUGGAGAAGAGUACUCAAACCCUUGAGAAAGGCAUGAGAAUGACCUGGAGACCACCAAUGAAAUCAAGGAACCAGAACCAGGAUGGAGCCUCAAAGGAAGAGAGGCGAUUAGAUGCUCCUGGUAUAGAAGAAUCUGGAGAAAGCAGUGAGAACCAAGAAGGAUGCCUAAACCCACAGGUCAGUAAGGAAAUACAUAUACAUCCCACUCUAGAGAUCGGAGGGCCAUCUAAGUGGAUAGAGUACUGAGCCUGGAGUUAGGAAGACUGAUCUUCCUGGGUUCCAACCUGGCCUCAGACACACUAGCUGUGGAACCGUGGGCAAGUCACUUAACUCUGUUUGCCUCAGUUACUUCAUCUGUAAAAUGAGUGGCAAACCAUUCUCUUUGCUGAGCAAAUCCAGAUGAGGUCAUGAAGAGUUGGGCAUGACUGAAAAGAGACUGAGCUAGAACUGGAGAGGGGAAGUGAGGGAUGGAGGGACUUCUGGCAAAGGCAGGUUUCUGUGACUAUAAGGGGAUGGAAGGAGCUCAGGAGGAAGAGGUCUAAUGGGAAGGGUGGUUGGGUAACAAUAGAUUUGGGUCUCCACAAGGCAGUGGAAGAAACAGUAAAGGCUCCCGGGGAGCGGUGGCCCAGGGGAUAGACCCUCAGAGGUAUAAAAACCACAAGCCUCUGGCUUGUGCUCCAGGGAGCUGACAUGAAAAACACUCUCCUAGGCAAGGGAGAAGCAUCUUCGCAGCCCAGCCAGGGGAAGUAUAAAUUAAUCUGCCCAACACAGCCAAGGGGUGUGAUUGGGUGAGUCCUGCCCAUGUCCAAGGCCAAGACUGCCAUGACCACAUUCCUAGGUGCUGGGGACACAAAGACAAAAAUGAAUCUGCCUCUGCUGACUCAGGGGCUUCCAUUCUAAUGUAAGGGGGAAGACCAAAUGCACAUGCAUGAGUAUAAAGUCAGAUCUGAGAGAAGACUUAGACACAGACCCGGACCUCAGAAGGACUUUAGGACGACUGUGUUUUGGGUUAGAAAGGAUUUGGAAAAGAUCUCCUCCAACCUACUUAUUUGAUACAUGAACAAACCGAAGGGCCGAGGGAUGUGGCCAAGAUUGCUCGGUAUGGACAGAUCGAGAUCAGAAUCAGGGCUCCUGCCCCUCCGUCCUGUGCUAUUCCCAUGGAGCCUUCAUAAUCACUGAUGUUCAGGGGUCCAAGGCAGAAUUAGUAAAAGGAGGAUCUAGGCCCUAGACGGUGAUGGGCCCACUGGCCUAGACCCUGGCUAGAUGAUAUCUAGCAUUUCAUUUGAUUCUGGGCCCUGUUUUACAAGGGACACUGCCACGUUGAAUCCGUGUCCCUUCAUUGGGACUCCUAUGCCCUGACUCAUAGUAACUUUCCUUUGUGAAUCCUCCUCUCCUGCUAAACUGGACCAUGUCCCAAAUCCCUCUUGCUCUUUCUCCCCUCUGACCCUGGUAGCAAAGACCACUAAGGCCCCUUCCCUUCUAAAAUGAUGAUCCUUUCAUUGAGUCCUUAUCCCUUACCCCCACUGCCACCCCUAACAAAAGCUUCCCUUAGGACAGGAUCAGUUAUCUGGAGCUGAAAGGCCAUUGUAUCCAACCCCACCAUCUUUUAAAAAAUUAUAUUUAAUUAGAUUCAAUGAAAAUCUACGUUUUCUAGCUCCCAUCAUCCUUCUCACCCUCACCCACUUUGAGAAAGAAAUGGAAGUGGGGAAUGCUGUUACAAAGAUAAAUUGUCAAGCAAAACAAAUUAUAGCAUUGUAAAUACAUAUCUCUCAGUUUUCCCUCUGAGUCCAUCGCCUCUUGAUUGGAAGGAUGACAUGUUUCACCAUGAGAUUUCUGGGACUGGGACUCGUCAUCCCAUUGAGUGGAACUCUGAAGUCUUUCAAGGUUAAUUUUCUUUAUGGUAUUGUGGUUAUAGUAUACAUUGUUCUGUCCAUUUGACUCACUCCAGCCUGCAUCAAGUCAUAUAAAGCUUCCUAGGCUUCUCUAAAACCAUCCCCUUUUGUCAUUAGUAUUCUAUUUCAUUCAUAUAACAUAUCUUGUUUAGCAAUGCCCCCGUUGAUGGGCAUCUCCAGGGUUUCUAGGCCUUUGCCUGUACAAAAAGAGCAAUUAUAAAUAUUUUUGUACAUGUGGAUCCUUUUGCCCAUUGUUUAAUCUCUUUAGGGUAUAGACCCAUGGUGAUGAUGAACCUAUGGCAUGAGGGCACUCGGAGCCCUCUCUGUGGGCACCCAUGCUGUCACUCUAGCACAGAGUUCACCAGAGUUCUUUACUAGAAAGUCAGAGGGACACUGGGCUGGGCUGUUCCCCUCCCUCUCUCCACAGGCACCUGAGGACAUUUCUCACAUCACCCAUUCCUCUAAAAGAUUCGCCAUCCAAUUUGGCACUAAAGGGCUGCCUGUCCUUUGAUCCAGCCAUAGCACUUCUGGGCUUGUACCCCAAAGAGAUAAUAAGGAAAAAGAAAUGUACAAGAAUAUUCAUAGCUGUGCUCUUUAUAGUGGCAAAAAAUUGGAAAAUGAGGGGAUGCCCUUCAAUUGGGGAAUGGCUGAACAAACUGUGGUAUAUGUUGGUGAUGGAAUACUAUUGUGCUCAAAGGAAUAAUAAAGUGGAGGAAUUCCACGUGAAUUGGAAGGACCUCCAGGAGUUGAUGCAGAGUGAAAGGAGCAGAACCAGAAGAAUGUUGUACACAGAGACUGAUACAUUGUAGCACAAUCCAAUGUAACUGGCUUUGCUAUUAGCAGCCAUGCAAUGACCCAGGACAAGCCUGAGGGACUUAUGAGAAAGAAGCUAUCCACAUCCAGAGAAAGAACUGUGGGAGUAGAAACACAGAAGAAAAACAACUGCUUGAUCACAUGGGUCAAAGGGUAUAUGAUUGGGGAUGUAGACUCUAAACAAUCACCCUGGUACAAACAUCAAUAAUAUGGAAAUAAGUCUUGAUCAAUGACACAUGUAAAACCCAGUGGAAUUGCUGGUUGGCUAUGGGAGGGGAAGGGAGGAUGGAAGGGAAAGAAGAUGAAUCAUGUAACCAUGGAAAAAUAGUCUAAAUCAAUUAAUUAAAUAAAAAUUUCCAGAUUAAAACAAAUAAAUAAAUAAACGAUUUGCCAUCACUGGGACAGACCCACAGUGGUAUUACUGAGUCAGAGGAUAUGCAGUUUAAUAGCCUUUUGAGCAUUGUUCCAAAUGCUCCUCAGAAUGGUUGGAUCAUCAGUUCAUGGUUCACAACAUUAAUGGGUCUCUCCAGCAUUUGCCAUUUUUCAUUUGUUCCCUCUCAUCUUUACAGGUAAGGAAACUGAGUCACGGAGAGCUUAAACAUCAUGUCUGCUGCUUCUGUAGAGGGGAUUUGAGUCACAAAGCCAUUCUGGUUUCCAGGGAUUCAUUUUGUUUUGUUUUGUUUUAACUCUUGCCUCUGACAAGAGGAUGGGAAAGUUUCAUCUCCUCGGGAAGGGCUUCUGGCAGCUGGCAGACGAGAAGGUUUAUUUGGGGAACAGGAGGACAGACUCUACUCCUGAAAUGCCUUUGCCUUGUAAGGCCAGCUUUGCUUGAGGCCCCUGCCCCACGCACCUGUUGUGGGUACUGGGGGGUGCCCUGGGGAUUGGAGAUGCAGGCUGGGGCCCCGCAGUACAGAAGUUCCCCUGACCUUUAGUCCACUCAGCUCUGGCCAGCCCCACUGCUCUGGAGUGGCCUGAAUAAUUUACAGUGUAACUCCAGAGAGAAACCCCAGCCUCCCACCCUUUCCGAAACUUAAAACUGGCACCUCCAGGGCCAGGAAGCCUUGCCCUGAGCACUCGGGCAGAGCCAGGGCAGAGGCUGAGCCGUCUUGUGAGACCUGAGGCAGGAAUGCAUUUCCCUGAGUAUGUGAGAGGCCUCACAGGCCCCGGGUUCCCUAGCUGGUCAAGGGUAAAUAUUCUAGGAAGAAAUCUCAAUCCUAUUCUAAGCCUCUCCCAGGUGGGGCCCCUUGGCUAGAAUCCACCCAGGCUGUCGCCAUAGCUGAACAGGGUUUCACUCCAUUUUCUCAGUGGACAAAGAGCCAGCUUUGAAGCCAGGGACACCAGCUUUGAGUCCUGUCCUUGACACAUGGGCGACCCCAGGCAGAUCCCUUACUCCCUUAGUGCUCUACGUAGCCAAGGCUUUGUGGGACAGCCUGUACAGGGAGAGGGAGUUUCCUCACUGGGAGUUCCCCAUAUCCCAUGAGGCAUCUCCAGAGCCACACUGUAGGGCCAGCCCUUCUCCCUGCUUUCUCUGUUAGCUGGGUUCUAGUGUGAGGAGCUCAAAGGCUGGAGACACCUUGGAGGUACGUGUGGCCAGCCUGCCCAUUCUACAGGCAAGGAAAUCCAGGACUAAAGAGUAACUUGCUCCAGGUUACAAAGGGAACAAGGGGCAGAGCUGGAAUUGGAAUCAGCAAAUGGCUUUCGUCUAGGUCCCUUUUGUCCAUAUCGCCCAUAGGAAAUGGGUGUAUACACCUACGCUCUUCCCUGGACCCCUUGUUUCCAGGUUCCCCUGGGGGGAAUCUUGACAAGCUCCCAGAGGUUCUAGUGCUCCUCUCCCCUAGAAUCUCCUUCCCCGAAUCAUUCACUACGCCCAGAUUUCUUCACCGAACUCCAGCGGCUUAUUGGGCAUGUCAAGAUCCAAACAGAACUCAGUCUGUUUCUCCCCCCCCCCCCCACACACACACACACUACUCCCUCUCCAGAUUUCUCUCUUUCAAAGGAGGGCUGCCCCAACUUCCUGGACUUCUAUGUCAUUCCUACCCCUGCUCCAUCCAUCACGUCCACAUUCAAUCAGGUGCCCUACCUGCUGGGCUAUAAUUCAUCCAUACUGCUACUACUACUGCUACUACUACUAGUACUACUAGUACUACUAGUACUAGUACUACUACUACUACUACCACUACUACUACUGCUACUGCUACUACUACAACUACUACUGCUACUACUACUAUUACUAGUACUACUGCUACUACUGCUAUUGCUAUUACUACUACUACUGCUACUACUACUACUGUUACUAUUGCUAUUGCUGCUACUACUACCACUACUACUACUACUACUACUGCUGCUGCUGCUGGGAGCUAUCAGGCCACGACACCUUGACGGAGUCACAUGUGGUAGCAGAGGAGACCACAGAGUGGUCCUUGGCGAGAUGUGAUUGUCCACCCAGUCCCCCCUUUACAUGACCUCUUUCAUCAAUGCCGCUUACCUAUGAAUUGACAUGAUAAUUAUUCCCCCUAGUCUCAGGGGAAGUAAUGCAAGAGCAAAACACCUGUACCCUAAUUCCCCAAAACAUCACCAAAAAGAUCAGACCCUCAAACCCAAUCCCAAAAAGACUAUCAUGGGUUAACUUUUAUUUAGGUACAUAAUUCCUAGCAAAAACUUCCCCACUCACGGAAACCUAUUCUCAUGAAGCCAGCACACAAAUCAAUCAUAGAAGCCCAUGCGAUAAGUACAUCAAGCUUCAGUAUGCCUCAGUGACUCGAUUACACAAAUCAGUAACUCAGAAACUCCCUAGUAAGAACCCUGAGAAAUGAGCAGUCUAAUAUUAAAUUUGAAUUGUGUUCCCAGUACCCCUCAACCUCAAUGAUACGAUUGUUGAAUUGCCUUUUAAGAAUUCUGAUUAAUUAUUCCAUUUUAUUAAAAGCAAUAAGUAAUUUUUCUUGAUUGUAAGCUUAAAACUUCUUACAGGGUAAUGAUAAAAAUUAAGCCAUCUGUGACAAAAUCAUUUAUCUUGUAUGCUGUCUGUAAUUACAAUAUAAGAAUAUAGAAUUUUAAUCAAGUCAUUUGUUAAAAAGUUAAUGUAUCACCUUUCCAAUUAUCUCUCUUUGAUUAUGUGUAUCUGCAUGCCAAGAAAAUGGGUAUAAAAAUAAAAACCAGGCAUGGGGUUGGUGGAGCAGCUAUCAGAUGCAAAGCAGUCCCAUGGCUGUAAUGAUUAAGCUGUC